GGCCUUGUAGUGUAGUGGUUAUCACACAGGAUUCUGAUGCUGAUGCUAAAAAUUCCUGUAACCCAGGUUCGAGUCCUGGCAGGGCCU
rfam:Pisolithus tinctorius Marx 270 unplaced genomic scaffold scaffold_11, whole genome shotgun sequence.